rnacentral:rRNA from 1 species
AGAGUUUGAUCCUGGCUCAGGAUGAACGCUAGCUACAGGCUUAACACAUGCAAGUCGAGGGGCAUCAGUUUGGUUUGCUUGCAAACCAAAGCUGGCGACCGGCGCACGGGUGAGUAACACGUAUCCAACCUGCCUCAUACUCGGGGAUAGCCUUUCGAAAGAAAGAUUAAUAUCCGAUAGCAUAUAUUUCCCGCAUGGGUUUUAUAUUAAAGAAAUUCGGUAUGAGAUGGGGAUGCGUUCCAUUAGUUUGUUGGGGGGGUAACGGCCCACCAAGACUACGAUGGAUAGGGGUUCUGAGAGGAAGGUCCCCCACAUUGGAACUGAGACACGGUCCAAACUCCUACGGGAGGCAGCAGUGAGGAAUAUUGGUCAAUGGACGCGAGUCUGAACCAGCCAAGUAGCGUGAAGGAUGACUGCCCUAUGGGUUGUAAACUUCUUUUAUAUGGGAAUAAAGUUGUCCACGUGUGGAUUUUUGUAUGUACCAUAUGAAUAAGGAUCGGCUAACUCCGUGCCAGCAGCCGCGGUAAUACGGAGGAUCCGAGCGUUAUCCGGAUUUAUUGGGUUUAAAGGGAGCGUAGGCGGAUUGUUAAGUCAGUUGUGAAAGUUUGCGGCUCAACCGUAAAAUUGCAGUUGAUACUGGCAGUCUUGAGUGCAGUAGAGGUGGGCGGAAUUCGUGGUGUAGCGGUGAAAUGCUUAGAUAUCACGAAGAACUCCGAUUGCGAAGGCAGCUUACUAACCUGUAACUGACAUUGAUGCUCGAAAGUGUGGGUAUCAAACAGGAUUAGAUACCCUGGUAGUCCACACGGUAAACGAUGGAUACUCGCUGUUGGCGAUAUACUGUCAGCGGCUUAGCGAAAGCGUUAAGUAUCCCACCUGGGGAGUACGCCGGCAACGGUGAAACUCAAAGGAAUUGACGGGGGCCCGCACAAGCGGAGGAACAUGUGGUUUAAUUCGAUGAUACGCGAGGAACCUUACCCGGGCUUAAAU